CUAAACCGCCCAGACAAUGUGGUUUGUAAACCAACCGAAUGUAAUAUAAUUCUGGUCACAUGUUGACUCAGUGGCGCUUCUCCAUGCAGGAUGUAGGACGUGGGAAGGGGGAGGGACGCACACUUUGUAAACAGGAAUAGCUGCAUCGUCAGAUUGUUGAUGGAUAGAUACUUUCAUAUCUAACAUGAUCUAAUGUUAACGGGGCUAGCUACCCUUGUAUCAGGAUGCAUCGCUCCAGUCCGAUUUGAUUUAUUUUACGACGUCAGCAUGUCUUAACAUGUGUUCUUUCGUUUUUGACCUCGACAUUGUUGCUGGAUAGAUACGUUCAUAUCUAACAUGCUAGCUAACCUCAUAUCUAGAUGCCUCACUCGUGUUCCCGAGAGAGCAGCAUACUGAUCUGCCAUGCACUCCUCCACUGACUGACAGCCUCACCCAGAAGUGCAUACAUUGGGCCUAUCAAGACUGACAAAGCAGAGAUGGGUGGCUGACAAGGAAAAAUAAAACGUAUACACACACACACUCAUUAUCCACAAUGUAAAUAAGUUGUAAUUACUUGUUUAUUUUAUGUAUGCUCCAUUUUAUUUGAGGAUUGAAGAUAUCUACUCCUAUAUAUCCAUGAUCAAUAUCUGCAUAAUUACUUUAAAUAUCUAUCAAAUCAACGUAUGAUUGAUAAUAUUGUAAAAUACUUGCUUAAUGUGUACAGUUUUAGGAAAUGUUGUGUGCUUUGUUGAAAAACACACAUCUCUCACACACACAUUAGACCCAAUGUAAAUAAAUUGUAAUAACUUGUUUAUUUUGUCUAUGCUCCAUUUUAUUUGAGGAGAAUAUCUGCAAUAAAGUAGAUUCACAGUUAAA